rnacentral:rRNA from 1 species
AUUGAACGCUGGCGGCAUGGCUAAAACAUGCAAGUCGAACGGACCCGCAAGGGUUAGUGGCGGAAGGGUGAGUACAAGUAUCGAACGUACCCCGAGGUGGGGGAGUAGGCAUGGGAAACGUAGUGCGUAAUACCCCACUGAUCUCGAGAGGGCAAAGACCGCAAGGCGCCUUGGGAGGCGGCGAUAUACCCACUCAGGUAGUUGGCGGGGUAACGGGCCCACCAAGCCGAAGACGGGUAGCCGGUGUGAGAGCACGGCCGGCCACAUCGAGACUGAGACACUGCUCGGACUCCUACGGGAGGGCUGCAGUAACGAAUAUUCCGCAAUGCGCGAAANCGUGACGGAGCAAUGCCGCGUGCAGGACGAAGCGG